GGCAACAACACGAGCAAUAUACCUUAGCUGCGUCUAAUGCGAAGAAGAAGACGCGAAAGGUGAAACGAAGAAGAAGAAUUGACUUAUAAAUCCGUGGAAACAGCGCUAGCAUCGUCCAUUCGGUUGUUGUUUGUCUGCUAUCGGUACGGACGAUGGUCAAUCACCACUACUACACUGCACUGGGCUUGGGUCAAAGGUCUUUAAGAAGACCAUCUGCUCAGACUGGAAUUGAAUUGGGUACUGGACCGCUCACAGGCAUCGUGCUCUUUAAAGAUAUGUUGUAGAGUAAUUUUUUGUUAGUAAUAUUUACUGUAUAUAUUCUAUGCUCAAAUAAAACUAUACAGGCCAACUUUUUGCUUCAAUUUUCUGAAAAAUAUACUGGAUUAUGAGAUGUACACGACAGAUGGUUUACUAAUUCAUGAGCCACUCUGACCUUUAAUGAUAUGAGGCAUCAUUUCUAAAUGUGCUGACCGACUACUGAAAUAUGCCAACUUUUGAUCAAGCAUAAAUCAAAUGACAAAAGCUGAUAUCAUUAACAAAAGGCACAUUUCACAUUGAACUUUCAGGUUUUGCCAUGUGAUAUAAGAAACACUAUAGCCUAAACAUUAGUGUACAGGGUAUUGAUACAGCACUUAAGGUACUGAUACCAAAACAUUUAAG